CCCCAGUGUCAAAGUAUUUCUGUGUGUGUCUUGGGCAGAGGCAAGGCAACCUCAGAAAAAGCGUGGACAAAAGUUUCUCUUUUGCCAUGUAAGUAAUCAGUGAAUGGCCCAGCCAGGCUGCAUAGCUAGACCUCCUGGUAUCUAUAGAUCUUCUCCUGUGAAACAAUUUGAUGAAUACCUCAGAAUACUGCCUGACAGACCUGCAUGGGAAACAGAAUAAAAGUAUCCAGCAACAACUUUAAAAGUAAUUUCAGUACUAGUCACGAAACACAGAAUCAAAUUGGAAUAUCCUUUUACAGGAAGCUGUAGGAUAUAAGCUCAGGAUAGCCAAGAGCAUUAGUGGGUUGAAAAAGAAUUUGGAUGAAUUCAUAAAGGAUACACAAAU